rnacentral:misc_RNA from 1 species
UGCGAGUUCGCGGGAGAGUAAGUUAUUGCCAGGGUUUUUAUUUUAUACUUUAAACAUUGAUUUUAUUUUUUAUGUUUUUAGAUGUUUAUAUUAUUUGAAUAAAACAUUCAAAUAAUAUAAAAAAUAAAAUAUAUAUAUUGACAUGGAUUAAACAAAGAUAUAUAUUAUUCUAUGUUGUAUAAACAAAUUGGCAAAAUAGAGACGGAAGGUAAAAAUAUGGUCAAAGUAAUAAGAGUCUAUGGUGAAUGCCUAGGAGC